rnacentral:rRNA from 1 species
UUUUAGAAAUUAAUUUAAAGUCUAACCUGCCCACUGAAAAAUUUUAAAUGGCCGCAGUAUUUUAACUGUGCAAAGGUAGCAUAAUCAUUAGUCUUUUAAUUGAAGGCUGGAAUGAAGGGUUGAAUGAGAUAUUAACUGUUUCAUAAAAAUUUAUAAUAGAAAUUUAUUUUUUAGUUAAAAAGCUAAAAUAAAAUUAAAAGACGAGAAGACCCUAUAAAUCUUUAUAUUUUAAUAAUUUUAAUUAUUUAGAUAAAUUAAAUUAUAAUUAUUUAAAAUAUUUUAUUGGGGUGAUAUUAAAAUUUAAUAAACUUUUAAUUUAUUAUAUACAUAAAUUAAUGAAUUAUUGAUCCAUAAAUUAUGAUUAUAAAAUUAAGUUACUUUAGGGAUAACAGCGUAAUUUUUUUAGAGAGACCUUAUUGAUAAAAA